rnacentral:lncRNA from 1 species
UCUAAAUGACAUGAAACAAAGCAUAAAUAAAUACUAGAGAUAAAAAUAAUAAGGCUCCAUGUUGAAAAUAUUUUCAUAAUAAAUAAAAUAAUUCGUGUAAAAAAUAAAAUAAAGUUAGAAAUAAAUAUGGUAAAAUAAAUAAAAUGAAAAGUGAAAAGAACAAAAAUAAAAUAGAAUGUACACGCUAGCGGUUGAACCCUUGACCUUGGGGUCAUGGGGAUCAAAC